CCGAGUUUACAACUCCCAAACCCCUGUGAACAUACCACUUGUUGCCUCGGCGGAUCAGCCCGCUCCCGGUAAAACGGGACGGCCCGCCAGAGGACCCCUGAACUCUGUUUCUAUAUGUAACUUCUGAGUAAACCAUAAAUAAAUCA
rnacentral:misc_RNA from 1 species